GACGAACGCUGGCGGCGUGCUUAACACAUGCAAGUCGAGCGGAGCGGCGAACGGGUGAGUAACGCGUGAGUAACUGCCCCCCUCUCUGGGAUAACAGUUGGAAACGGCUGCUAAUACCGGAUAGUGGGGGAUGACUCGCGUCCUAUCAGCUUGUUGGUGGGGUAGUGGCCUACCAAGGCGACGACGGGUAGCCGGCCUGGGAGGGCGACCGGCCACAUUGGGCUGAGAUACGGCCCAAACUCCGACGGGAGGCAGCAGUGGGGAAUAUUGCACAAUGGGGGCAACCCUGAUCCAGCCAUGCCGCGUGCAGGAUGAAGGUCUUCGGAUUUUAAACUGCUUUUGUCAGGGAAGUGUUAAUACCAUAGACUGCUGACGGUACCUGAAGAAUAAGCACCGGCUAACUACGUGCCAGCAGCCGCGGUAAUAC
rnacentral:rRNA from 1 species